rnacentral:rRNA from 1 species
GACGGAGGGUGCAAACGUUGUUCGGAUUUACUGGGCGUAAAGCGUGUGUAGGCAGCCGCGCAAGUCGGAUGUGAAAGCCCUGGGCUCAACCUAGGAAGUGCAUUCGAAACUGCGAGGCUGGAGUCCUGGAGAGGAAGGCGGAAUUCUCGGUGUAGAGGUGAAAUUCGUAGAUAUCGAGAGGAACACCGGUGGCGAAGGCGGCCUUCUGGACAGUGACUGACGCUGAGACGCGAAAGCGUGGGGAGCAAACAGG